rnacentral:rRNA from 1 species
GACGAACGCUGGCGGCGUGGAUUAGGCAUGCAAGUCGAACGGUAUCAUCCUUUCGGGGGUGAGAGAGUGGCGAACUGGUGAGUAACACGUAGGUUAUCUACCCUCAAGACGGGGACAACCCAGGGAAACUUGGGCUAAUACCGGAUGUGAGCAACUUUUAGUUGUUUGAAAGGUGGCGUAAGCUGUCGCUUGGGGAUGAGCCUGCGUCCUAUUAGUUAGUUGGUGAGGUAACGGCUCACCUAGGCAAUGAUAGGUAGGCGGCCUUAACGGGUGGUCGCCCACACUGGGAUUGAGAUACGGCCCAGACUCCUACGGGAGGCAGCAGUCGAGAAUAGUCUACAAUGGUCGGAAGACUGAUAGUGCGACGCCGCGUGAACGAUGAAUCCCUUCGGGAUGUAAAGUUCUUUUAUAUGUGAGCAGUGCUUCUUAUAUUAACAGUAUGGGGAGAGAGAUAUUAGCAUAUGAAUAAGCAACGGCUAACUCCGUGCCAGCAGCCGCGGUAAA